GGAGUGUUCCAGGCAUGGGGGGAGUGGAAAGGAGGGUGGGACAGGGCAGCUUAUACUAAGGCAUGAAAGUGGAAGAUAUAUGAUGAGAUCUGUCAGAUAGCGAAAAAAGAAUAAGUCAGCCAGAGCCAGAUUGUCAAAGGCUCUGUAAAACAGAAAAUGGAAUUUGUAUUUGAUCCUAGAGGCAAUAGAGAGCUUGGGGGGUUUCUUGAAUAAGAGAGAGACAUGGUCAAAAAGUGCUUUCUGAAUAUCACUUUGGCAAAUAAUAGAUUGCAAAGAGUAUAUACUUGAAGCAGAGAAAGCUACAGGAGGCUGUUGCAGUAGGCUAGGCAAGGGGUGGUGAAGGACUAAACAGGCAUGGUAGCCAAGUAGAUGGAGAGAAGACAACAGAAAUGAGGAAUUUGAAGAAUUUAAACUGGCAAGACAGCAACAAAGUAGAUAUGUGGGAUGAACAAAAAUGAGGAGACAAAGAUGACCACAUCAUUGUCAGUCUUUGAAAUUGGAAGAAGAGCAUAUCCUUCCAAAGAGAAAGAUAUCCACACCACACCUCAGCUGUAGUCGUGCCCUUCAACUGCCUUCAUCAACUAAACAUCUGCACCGUAAAGCCACCUAUAGAAAGCAAAUCAGUCAAAAAACUUAUCUGGUUCUUAGGAACACAAGACCCAAAGGAAGAUUAUGGAGAACACCAAUGCUCCAGUAGUCGGUUCUCCACAGAGAACUCAAGAAGUAAAUGUCCAGACCAAAUACCAAAAACUCCUCAUUGUUCUCUUCAGUGAUGGAAUGAUGAUUAUAAUUGGAAUAAUAUGUUUAAUACUU